UACGAAGGGGGCUAGCGUUGCUCGGAAUGACUGGGCGUAAAGGGCGCGUAGGCGGUUCGUACAGUCAGACGUGAAAUUCCCGGGCUCAACCUGGGGACUGCGUUUGAUACGUGCGGGCUUGAGUUCGGAAGAGGGUCGUGGAAUUCCCAGUGUAGAGGUGAAAUUCGUAGAUAUUGGGAAGAACACCGGUGGCGAAGGCGGACGACCUG
rnacentral:rRNA from 1 species